UUCCAGAGCUGCCAUGAUUGAAGUGGUAGCAGAGCUGAGCCGAGGUCCUGUGUUUCUGGCGGGGGAGGCGCUGGAGUGUGUGGUGACAGUCACCAACCCCCUGCCCCCCACAGCCACUUCUGCAUCCAGUGAGGCUUUGGCCUGGGCCAGUGCCCAAAUCCACUGCCAGUUUCAUGCCAGUGAGAGUCGAGUAGCACUACCUCCCCCUGACUCCAGUCAGCCAGACGUCCAGCCUGAGAGCCAGACUGUCUUUCUACCACACCGAGGUGAGAGGGGUCAGUGUAUCCUUUCCACUCCACCAAAAAUCCUUUUCUGUGAUCUGAGGCUAGACCCUGGAGAGUCCAAAUCAUACUCCUACAGUGAAGUGCUGCCCAUAGAGGGACCACCCUCCUUUCGGGGUCAGUCAGUCAAGUAUGUCUACAAGCUGACCAUUGGCUGCCAGCGUGUCAACUCACCCAUCACUUUACUCAGGGUCCCUCUGAGGGUUCUUGUGCUGACAGGCCUUCAAGAUAUCCGGUUUCCCCAGGAUGAGGCUGUAGCCCCAUCUAGUCCAUUCUUGGAGGAGGAUGAAGGUGGGAAGAAGGAUUCAUGGCUAGCAGAGCUGGCUGGGGAGCGUCUCAUGGCUGCCACAUCCUGCCGCAGCCUCCGUGAGAAUCCUUUCACAAUUGCCCUCCCCCAUACCCCCAUGUUAUUACUGUCUCUGACAGAUUUUCCUAAUUGCCAUAUGCUUCUUGAGGAUUUACUGAUACUCAUCCCACAUUAUAAAGAAAAACCCCACCUUGGCCUCUGGCUCCCAGCCCUUGGUACUCCCCAGUGUGGACUCCAGGCUCAUAGUGUCCCAUUCUUCCCAGAUCUAUACAAUAUCAGUGAUGGCCGAGGAAAAGUUGGGACAUUUGGCAUCUUCAAAUCUGUAUACAGACUCGGCGAGGAUGUGGUGGGGACCUUAAACUUAGGGGAAGGAACUGUAGCUUGUUUGCAGUUUUCAGUAAGUUUACAGACUGAGGAACGUGUACAGCCUGAAUACCAGAGGCGCCGCAGGACAGGGGGUAUCCCCUCUGUCUCUCAUGUGACUCAUGCCCGGCACCAGGAGUCCUGCCUACAUACAACCAGAACCAGCUUCUCCCUCCCCAUCCCUCUCAGCUCCACCCCAGGCUUCUGCACAGCCAUUGUGUCCCUGAAGUGGAGAUUGCAUUUUGAAUUUGUAACAUCGCGAGAACCAGGUUUGGUGCUCCUACCUCCCUUGGAACAGCCUGAGCCUGUCACCUGGACAGGGCCUGAGCAAGUGCCCGUAGACACCUUCAGCUGGGACCUUCCAAUCAAGGUGCUGCCCACAAGCCCUACCCUGGCCUCAUAUGCAGCCCCAGGCCCCAGCACCAGCACCAUAACCAUCUGAAACUGACUCACCACGACGCUAUCUUUCUUCAGGAUACUGAGAACUCAGCACCUGGACUCUAUAGUAGGGCCCAUUUUCCCCACCUGGGUCCAGUGGCAUGGACAAUGAGAGGCAGGCUUUUAGCUGUAGCAUUAAUUUAUUUAUUCAGAAUAAAUUGGCAGCUGCUAGUGGUUUCCCUGGAAGUGGCAGCAGCAGUGGGCAGUUAGCGGAAGGGUGAUCGGUUGAGUUUAGUUGGAGUGGGGAGCAGGGGCCCCAGGGGCAGGGGUGUUGGCUGAGCCCCAUUCGAGGUCAGGCCCUCCCCCUUUGCAGGGCAGCCGAGGGUCAGAUUUUUGCACCAGGGAGAAUUGACAGGUUCCUGCCUCCUGACGUACCUCACACCCCGCGGGGAAGUCGAUGGGAUGCUGAGACCUGGGGAAGCAAAGCAUGGGAAAGGAGUCAGCAUGGUGAAGGCCCCCUUUAUCCCUGCCCUACUUUCCUUCUCUGCCAGCAUUCUUCCCAUGUCUUUAGUGCCCUCUUGUUCCCUGUGACUAAGCCCUGGCCUGCCAUAUAUGGAUUUUUUCGUUUCAUAGCAGAAAUAUUUUCCCUCCAGACCGCCCCCUACAUCCCUCACUUCGUAGCCUGCAGCCUUCUCUCUUUCUCUCACUCUUGUUGGUACCUUCAGGUUCAGCCAGCCUCAUACCUCUAUUCUGUUCAUUUUCCCACCACAACAGUCUGGUUAUACCCUGGCAGUCUGUGGUCACUCACGUGUCACAGCAGCCCACACCGACGGGAUGCAGACAGGUACAAUGGAAACAGUCCUUGCGGAGCCAAGACUCACCGAGGGUAAAAUAUUUCCCUUCAUAGUGGCAGGGGGCUAGGGAAGAACAGGAGAUGUUAGUGUGUGUGGGAGUGGUAGUGGCAGACAAAGAUCACUUGUGGUCUGCAGUGGGAGAAAGUAAGUACACAUCACCUCCAUAUUUAGUCUCUCCAAUUUCCGAGCUGGAGGGAGUCUGGGUUUUCUGAUAGAGGAUCAUCUCUAAGCCCCCCUCAUCCCAACUCCCUCUGUCCUCGGCCUUUCCAAAUACCUCCCCCAGCUUUACCUUGAGCUUGAAAGUAGCACUUGCUGUGGACUCCUGGCUGCUGGAGGAGCAGAGAUAUCACCAAGCAGAUGAUCCCCCAGCUUCCCAGGACUCCCUUCGCCUGUCCAGACCAGAGCAUCAUUAGGGUCAUUCCUGCAGCACAGCCCUCUCGAUCCCUUCUUGGCCUCGGUUCCAGACUACUCUGGUCUUGUCUCUUUGGGUUUUCUUUGUUUUUCUCCUUGAGUCUUAGUUUCUGUCUUUCUCCCCUGGGCUCCUGUCUCACACCAUCUCCUUGCCCUCUGCUCUCACAGGCUUGGGAUGUUUAUAAAGUGAGGACCCUGGCCCCCUGCUGAGCAGAGCUGGAAAAGCUGUAACUCUGUUUCCUGAGGUGAGGGCAUGAAAACAAGAGGUCUAGCUUUAACAAGCUGUGAGAGCUGAUUCAUGCCCCGGCACAGCGAGGGGGAGGGAGGUGGCCAUGGAAGGGGCACUGACUGGGCACUUCCCCAGCAAGGAGGUGGGAGGGGUAAGGGCCCCCAGGUGGUCCCCACAUCUCUUCCCUGACCUGGAGAGGAGGAAGCAUUCCCCCCCACCCCCAACACACACAUACACACCAGGGGUGUGUGUGCUGGGAUCCUUGCCUGGACCGGAGGGAGGCAUUUCCUGGGGAUGGCUAAUCCUGCGCUCCAGCCAAACCCAGGAGCUGCAGUAGGGUGCGACAGCCAGAGGCUCCGGGAGAGCGAACCGACACCUGGAGUGGAGAAUGUUUCUCUCAGACCUUAGGGCAGAGUCUCCCUGAAGUAUGCUAGAGAUGUGGGUGCUCCUCCGAGAUGAGGAGGUGGGUGUCUCUUUUGCACAAGCCUACCGGGGAUGCGCUUUCCAUUGCUCGGUACCCCCAAACAUACGGCACAUGCAAGAUCUUCCCUUAUCUGGGGACAGUUCUUUUAAAGAGGGACAUCUCUAAAUACUCUACUGGUAUGAGUCACUCCGGUUUCACAGAGGUGCCCUUGUUUCCUCUAAGAAUGAGAAUUGAGGAGUCCUCGAUGUCCUCUUUUGGGUUUCCUGCAGGCUCUGGAGAACCCCAAGAUGGGUGAUUAAGACUGUAGGUUAUAGAGUCAGACUACUUGGAUUCAGAUCCUGAUUCCACUUAAGAGCUGUGUGACCUUGGGCAAGCUACUUCAACUCUCUAGGCCCUUUUCCUUAUCUUUAAAUUGGGACAGUAAUACUAACUCAGGGUUGUUGUGAGGCUUUAAAUGAGAUGAUGCGUGUAAUGCUUUUAGCACUGUCCCUGGCACAUGAGCCUCAGGAAAUGGUAGCUGCUGUGGUUGGUGCUAAAGCUCAGAUAAAAUGGGGAGACAUUCCUUUGUUUGAAUGGUAUUGAGCAGCUCUGCACAGCUGAGGACUUCUGUGGGGGGCUGCUAUCUCCUAUCACAGACUUCUGCCCUUUGUGCAUUCGUGCUCCAUGUCACCCUUACUACCUCUGGUUUGAGAAAAAAGUGUUGGGGUAAACCCACUUUUCCUAGGUCAGUCAGUACCCUCACUUCUGCCCUGGGAGAAGGUGUCAGUUUCUCAUCCUUCCAGGUAACAUCGGGACCCCUGCUUUUCUCAUUAGGAUUUUGAUCCAUUUCUUCCCAUCCCCGCUCAUGUGAACUCUCAAGUUCUCCUAUUUGACCACUCUAAUGCCAGCCAUCUCUUUGGUACUAAUGACACCUUUCUUUCGCUUUGCCAUACUGCAAAGACCUUUUUCUAGCUGUUCCUUUCCUGUCUGGAGGGCCACUUUGACCUUCUGUUUUUCCUUCUAAGUCUCCAGUCCAUUUUACUGCAAGAGUCUCAUUCCCUGCCACCCAGUGGAUCAGAUACAACUACUUCUGGCUGACCUUUUUAGAGGGCCACCCUGCCUCUCUCCUCUUCAUUCAGAAACAACUUCGUCUGUCCACCUCAGACUCCCUAUUUGUCCUCUUCCAAGUAAUGGCUUAAGUGGAUGGAGAUGCCAACUAUAUGUACCACAUGUUCACCCUAGUCAGGUCUGAUACCUUUUCUAUUUCAGAGGAGUGCCAAGAGAAAAAAGAAAAUUCAUGGUUGAAGCUGGGUGCCUUGAUGUAGGCUGGUGUGUGGGAAACAGGACCCUGGACUGCUCUCUUGGCUGGAGCAGGUGGAUUAGGAGUCCUUUCUAGCACAAGGGCCCAGAAAUCUUGUCAGUGGUCAGUAGCUCUGCUGCUACCUUUCUGGGGAAGGGGGGCCCUGCUGAUACCCUGGAAAUCUGGGGCACGGAAAGCCUUUUGCUCCUGCAACCUGGAGCCGACCCAGUAGGGGGCAGACACGACUGGGGAGCUAGGAAGCUUGAAGGUGGUGAUGAUGCCGGCAGGCAAAGGGGGCCCCGUAGGGAUUGGUGUGUGUGUGAGGUAAUGGGGACAGAAGUGGGGGCCGCCUAUAAUGAAGAUGAGGUAGGCAUAUGGGCAGGAGUAGGGGGCUUCUUUCUAGAAAGAAAGCCGGGGGUUGAGUCGGGAUCCUUCUCACAGAAUUUGGGGGAGGGGGGCGUGUCGGGGAUGUGUUGGUUGAAUCCACUUGCAUUCCUGUUCGUGUGCACGUUCUUGUGUGUGUCUCUAUAGCUGCUUGGGCCCCGAGGCCACGCUUGUGGUUGCUGUGUGUAUGCUUAUGUGUAGAAGAGGUCAGUGGUUAGGGCCCAACUCUGAUUCCUGGGGCCGCGGCCGUUGGGAAUGCCAGUUGCGGGGAGGGGGGGGUGCGGGCAGUAGGGGGUGAUUGGCGCGCGCGCGCGCGGGGACAGAAAAAACAUCCGCCGGAGGCCCGGCCGGGCGGCGCUCCAGCAGUGCCCAGCAGGCAGGUGCGCGAGGCGAGGAAGUGAGCGCAUUCCGGCCCCCCGGCCGCCGGCCCUCCGAGAGUGCAUGCUUGCACAUGUGCGCACGAGUGGGGAAGGGACAGAGAGAGAGAGACAGAGGAUCUGAAGUGGGCUCCAUCCAGCUGCGUGCUGGCAGCACAGAGCCCAAUGUGGGGCUCAAACUCACGAAAUCAUAGUAAGUGAUCUCAUGCUCCUGUCACUAGAUAUAGUGACCAGACUUUGGUUUAUGCAAAACAGGUUGGUUUUGUUUCUAAUCCUGUUUUUGGUAAUAUCUUUUUGCCAAAAGAGUUUGCUGUUAGUAUCAUCACGGAACUCCUAGUUCUCUUUCCUGAUAACCAGAGAACUAGAUAUCUCCUAUAACUAACCGAUCAUAUGUUCCUUAAAGCCGGUCAUACUUUAUUUGUGUUAAUGAUACCACCAUUCUACAAGCCACCUCAAGUAUCAGUAAUAAGUGUUAUUUACUAUUAACAUUAAUAAACUAGUACAAAUGUUAAUAACCAAAUAACAAGUGGUGUUAAUUCAGAGCAGGAUGAGAUCACUAUGGCUGAGGAUAACCUUCAUAGAAGAAAUAAGGAUUGAACUAGUUCUGAAAGAUGAGUAAGAUUUUGAUAUAUACAAACAGGGCAGAUUGAUUUGGAUUAAUGGAUUUGAGGAAGACAAGAGGAAGGAUCAGUACAUGCGUCAUUCAUGGUGUGACUCCCCUGUCUGUUUAUAGUGGACAUCAUUAAUCCAUCAUGGAACUCAUUCUUGCUGGUAAAACUGGAACUAGAUAGUAGGAAGAGAAAUGUAGACAUUAAAUGGAGAGAUAUUGUAAAAGAGGCAUCAGUGAGACUUUGUGAAAAUGUCUGACCUAGGAGGUCAAGAUAUGGGGCAUUUCCCAGGUGCAGUAGGGAAGUCCUUGGUGCAGAGACUAUGAAGGGUUUCUGUUGCAUCUGUGCUGAAUGUACAAGCAUCUGAGGGGUGUGGUGUGAUAAGCAUCAUAACCAGACUCAGAAAAAUAGCGCCAGGGGAAGACAGUGCAAUGGAAUCCAUCCAUUGCUCUGGAGAUCUGGGAAGCCAGAGGCCCACUCGCUCAAGGAGUCCCAACUUUUUCUUGCUGCUACAAAGUCCCCUUCCCCCUCAUACAUCCAAAUUCAUCUCAGAGAAGUGGGAGAGAGGUGACUCUCUAAGAGACCAAGCAAUUUUUAUUCAAGAGAGUCUGAGCAGUACCUUAAAGAUUAAAUGAUCAGAUCUAUUUUAAAUGGGUUGGGCACUUCUGAAGGAUGUGGUAUCAGCAACUGUGAAGAUGUAUAAAACCUUCAUGUGAAUAGAGGGUGCCAGUCACGUCAUCCACUACCUUUGAUGAGGUAAGGCAAGACUGCAUGUGGAAUGAUGCAGGCCUGUGUACCUGUUGCCAAGAGGGGCUGAUUGGGCCCAUCUAAGUAGGUUAGGAUAGAUGCCAGAGGCAUGUGGCCUACCUGAUCAGGUAGCUCAGUGCACUUAGCUUCAGGGGGACUGUUUAUCCAUGUCUCAGCACCACCCGUGUCCCAAUGCUGGCUACACUCACUCAUUGCCAAGAAAAGCAUAUGGUUGAACAGCUUCAAGAGAAUAGGUGUUAACUCUUCCUUAAAUGUUUGGUAGAAUUCCCUGGAAAGCCAUCUGGCCCCGGACUCUUGUUUUUUUUGGGGAGAUUUUUUAUUACUAAUUUGAUUUCUUGACUGGUUAUGGGUCUGUUCAAAGUUUCUAUUUCUUCCUGUUUCAGUUUUGGAAGAAAAGCGUAUGGUUGAAACACAUCUGUUACCGCUGGCCUUGUCAAACCUGUGAGGACAGAUUCUUGUAGUCUGCUAUUUCCCUCAGCAUCCCUCUUUUAUCUCUCCUCAUCCUAAGGAACCCAUUUUGUUUUUAAGAACCCAUUUUUUGAGGAGCCAUCCAAAUUAUCUAGAUUUUGUCAUUUACUCAUUUUUUAAAUUUAUUCUGAUGUUGAGAGUCUGUUAUACCAUACAUUGUCCUAAGCACUGAGGAUACAGCAUUUUGUAGAGAAAAUGGAAUAAACACAAAUAAAUAUGUAUAAUUAAGUUUGAACAAUAUGAAGUUUAAAAAACAUUACAGAGGGGGGGUGGCUGGGUGGCUCAGUCAGUUAAGCAUCCAACUCCUAAUUUGGGGCAGGUCAUGAUCUCACAGUUCGUGAGAUUGAGCCCCCAGUGUGGAGCCUGCUUGGGAUUCUCUCUUCCUCCCUCCCUCUCUCUCAAAAUACAUAAAUAAACAUUUAUAAAAAUAUUCUGGAGAAAGAACAGAGUAUUAUUGGACUAUACAUAUUUAGGGGGAGACCUUGUCUGUAAAGGAAGUGGUGAUGUUUACACAGUGAUCUUACUGAUUUUGAGGUGAUUGUGUGGAAGGUGGGAAGUGUUUCAGAUAGAGGGAACAGUAUGUGCAAAGGUGAGAGAAUGGAAAGGAAUGAAAGAAGUUCAGGGUAUCUGGAGCAUGAAGAGGGGGUGGGAUGUGAGGUGAGAUGAGGCUGAAGAGGUAGGCAGGGGCCAGAUCAAGGAGCACCUUGAAAUCCAUGUUAAGGUGUUUAUAGUUCAUCCUUUAAAGGGGAGGCCAGUUGUGCCUGGGUGGCUCGGUCGGUUGAGCAUCCAACACUUAGUUUCAGCUCAGGUCAUGAUCUAUGGUUUGUGAGAUCCAGCCCUUCGUUGAGCUCCUUGCUGACAGUGUGGAGCCUGCUUGGGAUUCUCUCUCUCCCUCUCUCUCUGCCCCUCCCCUGCUCGCUCACUCUGUCUCUCUCUCAAAAAUAAAUAAGCUUAAAAAAAAUUAAAGGGGAGGCAAGUCAAGGGUUUUAUGCAGAGGAGUGACUUGGCCAGCACUACAUUUUGGCUGUUUUAUAGGCUGUUUUAUAGUGUUGGAGAGGAUCAACACUAGAGUCUGGGAGACAAGUUAAAGGGCAGUUACAUUGGUUCAGGUGAAAGAUGAUAGUGGUUUGCACUAUAUAGAGUAGCACAGUGGAGAAUUGCGUGGAUUUGAGGGCAUAUUUUGGAGGUGUAUCCAGCAAGACUUAGAUGUGGACAGUGAGGGAGAUGAGAAUUCAGGGAUGACUGAGGUUUUGGGCUUCAGCAUGUAGAUGGAUGAUGGUGCCAGUUACUGAGCAAGAGAACUUUGGGGUGGGAAGAUAUUUUGGGGGGAAAUCAUGUGUCUGAUUUUGGACAUUGAAUUUGAAGUGCUUGCAACUCCAUCAAGUGAAGAGGUCCAGUAGGCAAUUGAAUAUAUUAAUUUGGAGGUGAUGGAAAUGGAUUGGCAAUCCAUGCUUGGCACAUAGAAAUAGUUAUUGGAGUUAUGCAUGGGUAUAGAUAUAAUUAUUGAGAGAGCUGAGUGGAGAAAAAAAUAUUUAGAAUAAAGCCUCAAGGAAUACCAAUCAACCCAAGGGACAGGUAGAGAAGGAAGAGUCAGUAAGAGACAGCUGCCAGGUGGUUUGGGAGAAAGCUACAGUAUGGUGUCACAGAAGGUGUACCAUUACAGCCUAUUGUAGAGAGAUGUCAGAGUGUUUGGCUGGACUCCUGGUGCUGCUGGAGUUACCUAUAAUAUUUGAUAGGGUGGGUGGGCUACAGAGGAUCAGAGGAGCAGACCUGGAGCUCCCAGACCACUAAUAACGUGGCAGCCUUCUGCCUGUCAAAUCUGAAGAAACUUGGACUCUAGGAGGUAGCAGGGGUUGAGAGGAUGGAGAAGGCUCCCAUAGAUGUGUGAUACCGUCAGAGCUCUGCCUUUAACCUGGUGAGGUUCAGCAAGAUGCAAGUGAAUCCCAGUCUGUGGACCUGAGCCAUCCUACAAAUUUGGUUACAUUCUUACCACUUCCUAGCAGCUCACCCUUUUUUUCUGUCUCUGCCACUCUGAUUCUGAUGCCUAACUCAUUCCCCUUGGUUCUUGAUCUUUGGUUUACUUUGGCUAGCUCUCCCUUUCUGAGCAGUAACUCCCAUAUAUACAUACUUCUAAUAACCCCUCUGCAUGGCUGGCAAGCUGCAAAAGCUGACUCUUUAUGUACCUAAUAAGCAGUCACCACAGAGUAUGGCCCAGGAUUAUAGGCCUAGGUAUCUAGAGGUGUUAGUGACUCUAAGCCUUAGAAUUUUUGUUUUCCUCAGUCAUCUCCUUUUCUCCUGUUUUGCUUGUCUGAGCGUUAUUAUUAGCUAGAUGUUAAGGCUGGUUCUACCCUUCAGUGAAUUUUGGGUUCUAUUGCUAUUAUUCUGAGCUGGUGGUAUCUGGGCCUAGCCUUGCUUGUGGUCUUAAGGGUUUUGAUGACCUUUCCUAUGGAGUAAUAUUCUGUGGAACUUCCUACCAUGUGCUUUCUUUCUUUCCUUCCUGCCAGGAUUAGUAAAAAAUUAAUUUAAAAAUUCUUGGGGCGCCUGGGUGGCUCAGUCGGUUAAGCGUCCGACUUCAGCUCAGGUCACGAUCUCAUGGUUCGUGAGUUUGAGCCCCGCGUCGGGCUCUGGGCUGAUGGCUCAGAGCCGGCAGCCUGCUUCCGAUUCUGUGUCUCCCUCUCUCUCUGCCCCUUCCCCGUUCAUACUCUGUCUC